CCUAGAUCACUCUUGAACUCUCAACGCCGAGACCCGUUUCCUCGACCCGGAAACCUGCGCCGGCAACCCGAUUCCGUCUCCAUCUUCCGGCCACGACACAGCGGCGAACCGAGUCCUUUUCUAUUCGUCUACUCAAAGUCGGCGUCCUCCUGGUCACGGAUCGUCCAUUCGACGACGGAAGGCGACAAAACGAGGUUGAGAAACCGCUGCAACUCCGGCGAUUUUCCGGCGACUCCGGUCACCAUUGUUGAUGCAUGAGGUAUGAAACGUGAUCUUCUCUUCGUGCUCUACAUGUUGGUGUGAAUGGAUUUUUGAAUUGAUCGAGUUUGUUGGAUUGGUGUUUUGGGUGUCGUCGGCUGAUGUCGAGGCUACUGUUGCGGCAGAGUAUUCCAGAGUUCUUUGAUUCAAUUUUGAUGAUAAUUCUGGUCCUAGAACGAGCAGCGAGAUGUGGGUUGCAUUGAAAUUCAGAAUUGGUCUGGUGGAGCACAGUCGGGUAGCAGAACAAAGAGUUUGAAAAUCUGUGAAGUUUGAUAGUGAAAAGUCUGGUUUUGUUCGUACUGGAACAAGACAUAGACAUGCAAAGGGAGAGAGAUUCAGAAGCUUGCCAGAGUUGGUAAUUGGGUUUGAGUAUUCCUCGAUCAAUUCUUGAUAGCAUAGGAUUUCAACUUGGAGGUUUUAAAGACGAAUUGUAUAAUUGGGCUGUCCAAGUUCAUUUUGAGUUCCACGGUGAAGAACGGGAGUGAUGGCGAAAUGUAAAUAGGAUGCAGAACCUCGGUGGGCUAAGAACUCCAACAAUUGCAAUGGAAAAAGUAUUGAUGGGACUCCAGUUACCCGGAACGUGAAAGAUUGUGGUGUUGGCCUAAAAGAGCGAAUGGAAUCAAAGCUACGAUAUUCCAGGAAAAAGAAUUUGGUCUUUAUUUCAUUUUCUAUGAGCUAUUGUUUGAUGACCUGAGAGUGAGAGGAGCAUAGCGACUUUCUUGGGCUUCGAUCCCCUAAACCUCCGGAGGGGCUGUAUGGACUGAAGAGUGUCUGACAUCCGUUGAGGUGUGGUACUGCUUCUAGGUGAUACAGCGUAAGUGGACACUCUCGCUACACAUUGCCGGUGUAAACGAUAUUAAUUGUGGUAAGGUUGUAGUUGGCAUAGCGAUCGGUCAUUAGGUCUGUUUCAUUCUUUUGGGCCCUACUAUAUUUUUAUAAACGAACUACGGUUUGUGCUUUUGAACAUCUUUAUCUAUAUGCAUUGUUUCUCACUUACUUUGCCGGCAUCUAUAUUUUAAAUUAUUUUCACACCUAGCUGGGGUAGAGUCUUAUUGAGCAGCGAGGAAGAAAGCUCACCCCUACAACAGUUUGUGGAUGCAUGUACUGUGUACGAAGACGAGACUGUUGGAUGAUGCUAAUUGUGGCUUAGUUACCUUGUACUUUAAAUGGUCAUCGACGGAGUUAGAUCUGCGUGACAGGUUCUCUUAUUUCUUUUACUCCUGUGUAACUUGUUUACCGAGGUUGUGAUUAUUUGUAAAAUACCUUUUUCGUAUUUUUUUUUCGGACUUUGGCCUUGAACCGGACAAACAUUCGAUAAUUGUUUUGAAAUGACUUGCAUUUGUUUUCUUUAAAGGAUUUCCGAUGGUUUUAUAGUUUUCGCCUCACUUAAACAACUGC